ACCUGCUCUACCAGCAUUAAUGCCCCAGAUACCAUCAGAACUCCGCAGUUAAGUGGGCUUGGGCGAGAGUAGUAUUAGGAUGGGUGACCUCUUGGGAAGUCCUCGUGUUGCACCUU
rfam:Gossypium hirsutum cultivar TM-1 chromosome 9, whole genome shotgun sequence